UACGUAGGUGGCGAGCGUUGUCCGGAUUUACUGGGCGUAAAGGGAGCGUAGGCGGACUUUUAAGUGAGAUGUGAAAUACCCGGGCUCGACUUGGGUGCUGCAUUUCAAACUGGAAGUCUAGAGUGCAGGAGAGGAAAGCGGAAUUCCUAGUGUAGCGGUGAAAUGCGUAGAGAUUAGGAAGAACACCAGUGGCGAAGGCGGCUUUCUGGACUGUAACUGACGCUGAGGCUCGAAAGCGUGGGGAGCAAACAGGAUUAGAUACCCGUGUAGUCCCU
rnacentral:rRNA from 1 species